UCCACAGGCACCACAGCCUAGUCCAGUGUGACACAAGGCAUCUCUUGGUCACCUGAUAGUGGACGGGGUGGGGCUUCCAAUAUUAGUAAAAGAAACAAUUUUUUGUAUGACUUAGAGGAAGCUCUAAAAAUCCGAUUGUGACACUCAGUUCGAAUGAAAGACUCUUACCUCACGUGAGACUAGGGCAUCUGUGACAGAAGGGAAGUGGAUGAUUGAUUGUGUGUGAAGCGCUUAGAAUAGCGUGGGGCACGUGGGACGCACCACGGAACUGCUGGCUGCUACUGUCAGUGUUACUCUGAGACUCCUCCCCGGGGAGUGUGUCACAAACGUUAAUUUUGGCUCCUACCUUAUAUAUGUGAGUUGAUCCUAUAAAGUUCAGAGGACCACAGUUGUCUACUGCAAGGAUAAACUAGAAACUGAUUUUCUAGAACACUGUAGCAAGCAAAGGAAGGCGACAUGAUACCCGCCAUUCCUGCCCAGGUCCCAAGUCGGCAGCUACAAACCUGGCAGGACCCAGUUUCCUUGCAGUGAUGCCCAGUGACAUCUCAGCCCUUACGUGUGCCUCCAAACUCCUCAGGUGUAGACUGAACCCUCCCCUUGGCCCCUCUGCAGGCGUGUGUAUCUGCUCUACACCACAAGACUGUUUUCCACACUUUGCCACGAAGUGGUCUGCCAGAACAAGCCGAAGCAAGUGGAGAGGUUGCUGGAAAGUUCCCAAAGUCACCCCGAGGGACUGAGAUCAGAAACUCUGAGGGACAAUUCUAAUCUUGUCAGUCACCUUGGCGAUGAAGCCCAGCUUUGCUGACCUGGAUUCUCCCCACCAAGAAAAAACAACUGGCAACCGGCAUUUGUACCACGGACCUGCUAAGUGCUCGGAAUUUCACGUAAUAGCAGGACAAAAGGAUACUUCAACCCAGCAAGAUGUUAUGUUUUUUGUUCAGGCAAAGGGAAAAGAAAAUCAAGAAAUGGUUAAUGGUUUUUCUCCUGGGAGAUGAGCUACAUGUCAGACGUGCUCAUUCGUCCAUGGAGCAAAUGGGAGAAGCACGAGGGGCUAGAGCAGCGGGAGGCGCGGAGUCGGGCCUGUGACAUGCGCGUGAUGUGCGGUGUGGUGGAGCUCUCUGAGGUGCCCGACGUCUUGCUUCACUCCGCGAGGGUUAUGA